rnacentral:rRNA from 1 species
CACGUAGGCGGUCUAUCAAGCGUCUUGUGAAAGCCCCCGGCUCAACCGGGGAAUUGCUGGGCGAACUGGUAGACUUGAGGCAGGUAGAGGCGAGUGGAACUCUUGGUGGAGCGGUGGAAUGCGUAGAUAUCAAGAGGAACGCCGGAGGCGAAAGCGACUCGCUGGGCCUGACCUGACGCUGAUGUGCGAAAGCCAGGGUAGCAAACAGGAUUAGAUACCCUGGUAGUCC